rnacentral:ncRNA from 1 species
GGGCCACCAGGGCAAGCGCAUCGAAGGGUGCGCACGCAAAGCCACCGGUCUAAGGCAUGAGCUAAGGCACUAGCUACGACAGCGGGGUUGCACGG